rnacentral:rRNA from 1 species
UCGGGAAUUUUGGGCAAUGGGCGAAAGCCUGACCCAGCAACGCCGCGUGAAGGAUGAAGUAUUUCGGUAUGUAAACUUCGAAAGAAUAGGAAGAAUAAAUGACGGUACUAUUUAUAAGGUCCGGCUAACUACGUGCCAGCAGCCGCGGUAAUACGUAGGGACCAAGCGUUGUUCGGAUUUACUGGGCGUAAAGGGCGCGUAGGCGGCAAUUCAAGUCAUCUGUGAAAUCUCCGGGCUUAACUCGGAACGGUCAGAUGAUACUGCUUUGCUAGAGUGCAGAAGGGGCAAUCGGAAUUCUUGGUGUAGCGGUGAAAUGCGUAGAUAUCAAGAGGAACACCUGAGGUGAAGACGGGUUGCUGGGCUGACACUGACGCUGAGGCACGAAAGCUAGGGUAGCGAACGGGAUUAGAUACCCAAGUAGUCCCUGAGCGGGCUGGCAAGGCGCAU